UUCUUCAAUGGCGAUCUAUACUUGAUAAUUAAGGAAGAGAAUUCUAGAAAGACAAGAGGCGGUUCUCAUACUUAAAGACCAAGCAAGAAAAUUUUAGAUUAAUGGAGAGAGAGAGAGAGAGAGAGAGAGAGUUGGUGAUGAUACCCUUUGAUUUGACUCCUAAAUAACACCCUUUGAUUUCAACUUGUCUUUCCAACUUGGACUUUCUUUUUCUUCUUGUACUUCUACCGUUUCUUCCACUUCAACUUGUCCCUGCCUCAUAACUUCAUCUUUAAUUUCUUCUUUAUUUGAAGACCAUGAAAACUCCACUAAACUGGAAAUAUAAUGUACUUCUCGCACUUCCUCCCUACAUUAUUUUUCAAUGCUUCUUUCUCUUCUUCACGGUCAAAUUUCUCAAUUAAUGUCAAUGCAAAAGUGAAUUCCCUAUCUUCUUCCACAAACAAGCUUAGAGCUACCUCAUCAAUACUUGGACUUGCAUUCGAUUGAUGAAUUCUUACUUCGUCAAAGUCAAUUUCUUCUUCUAAUGAAACUUCUUCAAAGAAGUUUGCGGCUGUUAAGUCCCCUUUUUCUUUCACUUUCAACUAACUUCAUUGUAGUGAAGGAUGCUUCCAUAUCCCAUUCUCGUCCUGACAUUGCUUAUGCUGUUAGUGUGAUAUCGACUGGGCUGGAUCUAAGGUUGACAGGAGGUCAACUACUGGAUAUUGAGCUUUUGUUGGGGGAAAUUUGGUGUCUUGGAGAAGCAAGAAGCAAAGUGUAGUUUUUCAAUCUAGUGUUGAAUCAGAAUACAAAGCCAUGGCACAAUCAGAAUGUAAGGUAAUGUGGAUACUUCAAUUACUAGAUAAGACAGGUUUUAAGACCUCAUUGCCUGUGAAAUUAUGGUAUGAUAAUCAAGCUGCUCUCCAUAUUGCUUCUAAUCAUAAGCGGACCAAAUAUAUUGAGAUUGAUUGUCACUUUAUUCGUGAAAAGAUUCAAUAACAGAUCAUCUCAACAGGACACAUCAAAACUGGAGAGCAGUUAGGAGAUAUUUUCACAAAAGCUCUGAAUGGAGCUAGGAUUGACUACAUUUGUAACAAGUUGGACAUGAUUAACAUCUAUGUUCUAACUUGAGGGGGAGUGUUAUGGAAAGUCAAUCACUAUAUUAUUUCUCUGUAUAUUCUGUAUUCUAUAUUUCUAUUUAGGAUUUCUUAUUUAGGAUUUCUUCUUAAUUAGUAAAACAUAAUUAUAGGAAUCAAUUGUAUAUAUAUACCUAUGUACAGAUUAAUUGAAAUUAAGGAGAAUCAUCUCUUUCUACAGUAUUUUUGCAACAAUUUGUUCUGUCCUUUGAUUCAUCGUAGUUAUGUUGGUGGUGAGCUCCCCCUUUUUGCCAACUCCUUCAUGGUUGACAUAUUUGCCAUCCUUCUUGGUUUGAUCUUCCCCUAGUUCUUAAUCUUGCAACUUUUAGAUCCUUCUCCUUGCUUCUCUUAUUACUGAAGAAAGCC